GAUCUGAUGAUAUUGGCAUUCUAAGUCUAAGGUUGCAAACAUUGUCAUAUUGUCUCACAAGCACAUCAACCUUGCACAAAAAGUUCAGGAAUUCAUAAGUUAUCCAUCCAAACUAACCAAUCCCAUGUAAUAAUUUCUCAAAAUCUUGAGUAAACUCAUUUUAAAUUGACAAAAAUAAAUGGAGGGACGAAAGUGUAUGAAUAAAUUAAAACUUAGUAAUUUAUCUUAGGAGUUAACAAUGUAUACGUACCAUGGCUUUGGUUAACGAAAAGAAAGAACCAGAGUAAUUGGAUACGUCUUCCUCAGUGAAUCCCAUACCUGAUCCUAAAGGAUGAGAAUCAUCAUAGUCGAAAAUACAACCACUAGUAUAGUUCACCAUUAGAAGAUUAUGCUGUUUGCAAACGUCAGCCAGUGUUAGAGCACCAACAACAUUGCUGCGAAUUGUCUCUAACUUGUGAAAUUCACACCAAUCCACAUUGGGUCUACCAGUGACUCCAGCAGCAUUGAACACAUGAGUAGGCCUAACAGCUUGAAUAUCUUCCAAGAUCUCUGAUCUGUUCUCCAAUCGACCUUUUCCAUAACUGUAAGGUAUUCCCUGCUUCUCGCACAGCUUUCCAAGCAUUCCCCCUAUCCAACCUGUUCUUCCGUAAAUAAAAAAUUUCAGUGAUGGCUUCUGUCCUCCGGAGGUACUGUUGGUUUUUGGCACUGCUGCCAUCAUUAUUCUGCUAAAUGAUCAAAGCAAGUGAAAGUUGUUAUGGAUAAAUUAAUUAAUUAACAUGGUAGCAUCAAGUUCUAACAAUUAAUUAAUAUUAGCUUUAGAGUCCCAAAUUUUGAUCCGACGUAGUUAAGCUUUUGGAAAGCAUGCAUAUGAUUUAGAACUAUGAUUAGCGGAAAAGUGUAGCAACGCAUGAUUAGAGAAGGCCACGCAGCUACAGGAGCUAAAGCUGGAAAUUAAGCAUGAUUUAUGAAACCAUAUUGCAAAAGAAGCAAAGGUGGAAUGGAGCUAUAUAAUAUUACUGUGGUUUUGAAGAUUAAAAGAGCAUAGUUGGUAAAUGUAGCUGUUACUUACUUGAGUUUUCCAGCAGAUAGUAAAUGUAGAGGUUGUAAAUGGGUAUUUCAAGUUUCUUGCAAUGAACAGCACCAUAAGAAAGAAAAGAGAGUGGAGAGAUGAGGAAGGAUGUUAG
rnacentral:misc_RNA from 1 species